AUACGGAGGGAGCGGGCGUUAAUCGGAAUUACUGGGCGUAAAGCGCGCGUAGGCGGCUUUGUAAGUCGGAUGUGAAAGCCCUGGGCUCAACCUGGGAACUGCAUUCGAUACUGAGUGUCUUGAGUAUGGUAGAGGGAAGUGGAAUUUCCGGAGUAGCGGUGAAAUGCGUAGAUAUCGGAAGGAACACCAGUGGCGAAGGCGGCUUCCUGGACCAAUACUGACACUGAGGUGCGAAAGCGUGGGGAGCAAACAGGAUUAGAAACCCCAGUAGUCC
rnacentral:rRNA from 1 species